rnacentral:rRNA from 1 species
UACAGAGGGUGCAAGCGUUGUUCGGAAUUAUUGGGCGUAAAGCGCGUGUAGGCGGCGUGGCAAGUCGGGUGUGAAAUCCCUCAGCUCAACUGAGGAAGUGCGCCCGAAACUGCUUAGCUUGAGUGCCGGAGAGGAUGGCGGAAUUCCCCAAGUAGAGGUGAAAUUCGUAGAUAUGGGGAGGAACACCGGUGGCGAAGGCGGCCAAUCUGGACGGUAACUGACGCUGAGACGCGAAAGCGUGGGUAGCAAACGAGG